UACAGAGGUGGCAAGCGUUGCUCGGUAUCACUGGGCUUAAAGGGCGCGUAGGCGGUGCGGUACGGUUUCGGUGAAAUCCCUCGGCCCAACCGAGGAACAGCCGGGGCUACGGCCGCGCUAGACGGCAUCAGGGGACAGUGGAACUCCCGGUGGAGCGGUGAAAUGCGUAGAUAUCGGGAGGAACGCCGGUGGCGAAAGCGACUGUCUGGGGUGCCUGUGACGCUGAUGCGCGAAAGCGUGGGGAGCGAUCCGG
rnacentral:rRNA from 1 species